GGAGUUUGCAGUAAAUUCGAAGGCGGCGAAAAUUUACGUAUUCUGGAGUAUUUUGAAAAGGGCGUGGCAAAAUGGCUCAAGAGCGCCACCUACGGAAAAGCCCCUCAUUUAGCAUUCACCGAUCCUCAAAAAAAACAAAGACUAUUGUGUAUCAUGACUAGAUGCACAAAAAAGUCCAUCAGUGCAUUAUGAAUAACGCAACAGGAAGCCCGCCAGUUUGACUUUAGUGGCCAUUUUGGUCAUAUUCAAUAUUUUUUGUUUUAAGUACUCCUCCUACAGCUUUCAUCAAAUCAACUUACAAUUUAGACGAUCGUCAUCACAACAAAAUGGAGAUCUAAAGUUAUUGAAGGAUUAAGUUUUAGCAAAACCGUCUGACCGUGGUGUGGCCUCAAAGUUUGAUUAAACGCCAUCAAAACACGGGCUCCUGUAUCUUGGACAUAUUUUGUCCAAUCGAGUCCAAACUAUACACAUAAGACAAGAGUCGCGACCUGAAGACAUCGGUACAGAAAUCGUGACUUAAAAUCACAGCGUCCCCUGGUGGCAACAGCAAAUGUCUUGUUUUUCUAUGUGUUACAGUUUGAUUCACUACUCGUAGGGCCUUCAUUAAAUCAACGUAAAAAUUUGAUGCAUGUGUUCAAAACAAGAUGAAGAUCUAAAGUUAACGAAAUUGCAACUUUUCAUAAUACUGUGUGACCGUGGUGUGGCUUCCAGUUUGAGGUAUGAAAACAUCUAUAUCUGGCAGAUGUGCUGCAAUAUUUAGUCACUAGAUGGCAGUGUCAGACCAUAGUUUGUGUUAUCUAUGCAUUAACAGACUGUGUUUACAGGGUGGCCAACUUUAGAGGAGAAUUAAACCUUUUACAGCAUUGCUCAAACUUUGGUUUUAGUCUCAAUCGCUAAGUUCUUCCUUCAUGACAACUCUGAGGGGGGUAAAUUUGUUUUUAACUUCCUUGUUUAAGCGAUAUAGAUGUUUGAAAUUCACGUGACGCCACAGUGUAAGCUGUGCUGUGUGUUGUGAGUUCGGCUUUAACCAGGUACAAGUGAACGCCUCAUGAAAUGGCUUACACCCACAUACCCAGUAAAUUACACACUUUGAUGUUCUGCUCCUUCUCCUGACGGUCACGGUAACGAUGUCUGCGCCUCCGUUUCUGUGGUAAGUCACGUUAAGUAUUUUAUUUCGAUGUGAUUCGCAGGGUGCCUUUGAAUCAGCCGUGAUAGCUAAGGGACGCUAAUCCGAGAGCUACAUACCAGCUCAGUGUAUAUCAACGGGUUCGAUGCGAAUGCCAGCUGUUACCGAAACAACCGCCAUGAACCCAGGUCCACCAAGCAGAGAUAAGCGUUCGUUUAUAAGGAUGAAUCUGAGACAGGAGACUGUGUGUCGGCUUCUUUUUCGCUAGCGCCGGAGGCUAACUAGCUCGCUAACAAGCAAGCUAACAAUAUCUUCGCAUGGGUGCAGUAACUGUUCUUCGACUCGAUUGGGGUUAUUACCGACAAACACCGACAUGAAACGACAUGAGCGGGUCCACCCAGCAGAUAUAAGCGUUACUUUAUGCGGAUGACUCUGAGACAGGAGACUGUGUGUCGGCUUGUAAGUUAGUUUCGCUAGCGGGCUAGCGAUGCUAACUGAAACCUGAGAAACCUGAGUGUUUAAAGUCACAUCUGCAUUGCAAGAGCAGCUGUUCAAAGGAGCAGUACGUGUCCUAAAGCUCUUUCUUCAGAGUAGUGUUGUAACGUGUUACAGUGAAAAGUAACCGUGUCUCCCACCUUCAGUAUUUAAAUCGUUAAUCUCAGACAGACUUCACUGAAUUCUUUUGUUAAAUAUGAGUAAAUCAUAGCCUUGUAACUUUACUAGAACAGACAGUGUCAUACAGAAUUGUAGGCUAAUAUGCACUACCUAUUUCCUAAGCUGAAAUGAUUAUGAUCUGAUUAACUUUGAAUUAAUAUUUUAUUAUUACCAUGUAAAAGUCUGUUAAGCAGAUAACAUGGCACAUGUAUGACUUAACAUAUCUGUGUAUUUGUGUUCAAUGUUCCUCUAGGAUGUCCAGCGUGAGACACAACUUGAAUCCAACCAGACUGAACACUGACUCCAGGGACGGACGAGCCUGAAGGAAACAGCUGUGAUGACCAAUUGACCAUGUUUUGUCUCUUAUGGCAAAGCAGAAAUAUUAAACACUGGGUUCUUAUCUAAAGUGUAUCAAAUCAGAAAGCAAAAGAUACACAUUGUUGUUAUAAGUUUUUAUUAUUUUAACCAACCAUAAUGAAGAUAGAAAUGAAUUCUUAUCCAUGCCACUUAGCAAUGACUGCCACCACCAAACAGUUGCAGGCCAUCUUUAUUUAAGGGAGGAAUUUAGAAAUGUUGUGUAGCUUCUGAUGAUGAUGCAGUCGUCCACGUGUUGACCACCAUGUUGCUGCUGACGACGUCAGGUGCUGCAGUUCCUCAUCUAUGAAGAGAAGAAACGAACUGUUAAAGAAUGUUUUGAGUUGUGUAUGAAGCACAACAGAUUUCAGAUAGAACCGUUGUACUGUGGUCUGGGUUUGUAUCCUAAUGGUUAAAUGCACAUAUUUUAAGUCGCUUUUGAUAAAAGUACUGAAAGAAAUACAACAUUGUAAAAAUAGAUAAAAUGUCUUUCUACCUCAUCUGUAAUAUUCAAGGUGAUAAUCUCCCACAGAGCUAUUGAUAACAGUCCACAUCAAGUCUCUCCACUUCCCUCAGUGUGAAAACAUAAUUAUAUAAUUAAUUUGAGAACUGUUUACAACACUGAUGUGUGGAGAUUAAAAUCAUAUCUAAACUGUCUAAUUCACUGUAAAACUCCAUGACAUUCGCAGGCCAUCUGUAGUUAAGGGAGCAACGUAUGGAGUGAUGUGUAGAGGGCAGAAACUUGGACUAUGGGCAGAGAAGGUCUCUGGUUCGUCUCCGGUUCGACUCCACGGAGAGACAACAAAAGACAAACCUGGAUUGAUCUGUCCAAAAAUCCAAGAGUCUCCCUACCCUCUCUAGUGCCCCUGAGCAAGGCACCUCACUCCCCCAACAUCUACUCCGUGAGCGCCGUACAUGGUCGCUCACUGCUCUGUGUGUCCUGCACCAGAUGGGUAAAAAGCAGAGAUUAAAUUUCCCUACCUGCAUGAGUGUGCCUUUGCAUGUCUGUGCAUUUGUUUGGGACGAAUAAAUGGAUCUUAAUCUUAAUCUUUUAAUCUUAAUCAGUUGUCUUCCAGUUGACCAGCAUGAAGCUGCAAAUCUCCACCAUGUUGCUGCUGAGGACAUCAGGAGCUGCAUUAAUGAGGAGCAGAAGCGCACUGUUAUGAAUGUUUUGUGUUGUGUAUGAAGCACCACAUAUUUCAGAUAGAACCGAUGUACUGGGGUCUGGGUUUGUAUACUAAUGGUUAAAUGCACAUACUUUAAAUCGCUUUUGAUAAAA